rnacentral:snRNA from 1 species
UCUCAGUCUUAUAUCUGGGGCUG